GCAUGCAGUUAUAAACUUUGUCGCAAGAUUUUCUGGGUGUUUUCAGGAACUUCUGAGGAGCGUAAUUGUCAAUUUAUUCCUGUUAUUUUCUUGCAAGAGCUAUCAUGUUCUAGUGUACAAUCACCUUCAUGCUGAAACUGAUGUAACCUGAAUUACCUAUUGCCUUAUAGUUGUUAGUGAGGAACCCUUCAUUCAGCAGUAUGACAAAUUGUUCAUGACUUAAUGGCUAUACUUAACACAGUAAAUAGGCCCACGAGUUGCCUAAUGAGGUUUGAACUAAAUGAUGGUUUUCGUGAUGACAGAUUCUUAUGUUUAUUUACAUGUAUGGAUGGUA
rnacentral:lncRNA from 1 species